rnacentral:rRNA from 1 species
UACGUAGGGUGCAAGCGUUGUCCGGAAUUAUUGGGCGUAAAGAGCUCGUAGGCGGUCUGUCGCGUCGGACGUGAAAACCCAGGGCUCAACCCUGGGCCGGCGUUCGAUACGGGCAGACUAGAGUUCGGUAGGGGAGACUGGAAUUCCUGGUGUAGCGGUGAAAUGCGCAGAUAUCAGGAGGAACACCGGUGGCGAAGGCGGGUCUCUGGGCCGAAACUGACGCUGAGGAGCGAAAGCGUGGGGAGCGAACAGG